UACGAAGGGGGCUAGCGUUGCUCGGAAUCACUGGGCGUAAAGGGUGCGUAGGCGGGUCUUUAAGUCAGGGGUGAAAUCCUGGAGCUCAACUCCAGAACUGCCUUUGAUACUGAGGAUCUUGAGUUCGGGAGAGGUGAGUGGAACUGCCGAGUGUAGAGGUGAAAUUCGUAGAUAUUCGCAAGAACACCAGUGGCGAAGGCGGCUCACUGGCCCGAUACUGACGCUGAGGCACGAAAGCGUGGGGAGCAAACAGG
rnacentral:rRNA from 1 species